rnacentral:rRNA from 1 species
CCUGAAACCGUGUACGUACAAGCAGUGGGAGCCUCUUAAUGGGGUGACUGCGUACCUUUUGUAUAAUGGGUCAGCGACUUAUAUUCUGUAGCAAGGUUAACCGAAUAGGGGAGCCGAAGGGAAACCGAGUCUUAACUGGGCGUUAAGUUGCAGGGUAUAGACCCGAAACCCGGUGAUCUAGCCAUGGGCAGGUUGAAGGUUGGGUAACACUAACUGGAGGACCGAACCGACUAAUGUUGAAAAAUUAGCGGAUGACUUGUGGCUGGGGGUGAAAGGCCAAUCAAACCGGGAGAUAGCUGGUUCUCCCCGAAAGCUAUUUAGGUAGCGCCUCGUGAAUUCAUCUCCGGGGGUAGAGCACUGUUUCGGCAAGGGGGUCAUCCCGACUUACCAACCCGAUGCAAACUGCGAAUACCGGAGAAUGUUAUCACGGGAGACACACGGCGGGUGCUAACGUCCGUCGUGAAGAGGGAAACAACCCAGACCGCCAGCUAAGGUCCCAAAGUCAUGGUUAAGUGGGAAACGAUGUGGGAAGGCCCAGACAGCCAGGAUGUUGGCUUAGAAGCAGCCAUCAUUUAAAGAAAGCGUAAUAGCUCACUGGUCGAGUCGGCCUGCGCGGAAGAUGUAACGGGGCUAAACCAUG